rnacentral:lncRNA from 1 species
CAUCGCAUAGCUGCGUCUCGAGCAUGGCCAUGGCGGCGGCAGCCUCUGCUGCGGCAACGGUGGGCGCAAAGCCUUCCUUCUCUUCCCACGCCACUCACGCCCUCCUCAUCUCUCGCCUCCGCCACGGGCUUUCCUUCCCCAAGCACAUCUCUUCCUCUUGCCCAACCCUCGCUUCUCGCUCCGCCCCCAAACACCUCCCCCUCCGCCGCCCACCCCGCGCGACGGCCGCCCCCGCCGAGACCGCUCCCGCCACCUUCCACGGCCCCUGCUACGUCCUCGGCGACAACAUCGACACCGACCAGAUCAUCCCCGCGGAGUACCUCACCCUCGUCCCUUCCAAGCCUGACGAGUACGAGAAGCUCGGCUCCUACGCCCUCGUCGGCCUCCCCUCCGCCGCCUACACCACCCCCUUCGUUGGCCCCGGCGCCACGCGCACGCGCUUUCCCGUCAUCAUUGCCGGCGCCAACUUCGGAUGCGGCUCCUCCCGCGAGCACGCCCCCGUCGCCCUGGGCGCUGCCGGCGCCAGGGCCGUCGUCGCGGAGUCCUACGCCAGGAU